ACGGGUGAGUAAUACAUCGGAACGUAUCCUGGAGUGGGGGAUAGCCCGGCGAAAGCCGGAUUAAUACCGCAUACGCUCUGAGGAGGAAAGCGGGGGACCUUCGGGCCUCGCGCUCAAGGGGCGGCCGAUGGCGGAUUAGGUAGUUGGUGGGGUAAAGGCCUACCAAGCCGACGAUCCGUAGCUGGUCUGAGAGGACGACCAGCCACACUGGGACUGAGACACGGCCCAGACUCCUACGGGAGGCAGCAGUGGGGAAUUUUGGACAAUGGGGGCAACCCUGAUCCAGCAAUGCCGCGUGUGUGAAGAAGGCCUUCGGGUUGUAAAGCACUUUUGCCCGGAAAGAAAUCAUCGGGGCCAACACCCCUGGUGGAUGACGGUACCGGAAGAAUAAGCACCGGCUAACUACGUGCCAGCAGCCGCGGUAAUACGUAGGGUGCGAGCGUUAAUCGGAAUUACUGGGCGUAAAGCGUGCGCAGGCGGUGCUGUAAGACCGAUGUGAAAUCCCCGGGCUUAACCUGGGAACUGCAUUGGUGACUGCAGCGCUGGAGUAUGGCAGAGGGGGGUGGAAUUCCACGU
rnacentral:rRNA from 1 species